GCCAGAAUGGUAUAGUGUGGUUUGAGCAUUGGACUACAGCUCUGGAGAUCAGGGUUCAAUUCCCUGCUUGGCCA